UACGUAGGGGGCAAGCGUUGUCCGGAUUUAUUGGGCGUAAAGAGCUCGUAGGCGGUUCGGCAAGUCGGGUGUGAAAUUUCGAGGCUCAACCUCGAAACGCCACUCGAUACUGCUGUGACUGGAGUCCGGUAGAGGAGUGCGGAAUUCCUGGUGUAGCGGUGAAAUGCGCAGAUAUCAGGAGGAACACCAACGGCGAAGGCAGCACUCUGGGCCGGUACUGACGCUGAGGAGCGAAAGCGUGGGGAGCAAACAGG
rnacentral:rRNA from 1 species